GUAAGCCUACGGGGAGGCAGCAGUGAGGAAUAUUGGUCAAUGGUCGGGAGACUGAACCAGCCAAGCCGCGUGAGGGAGGAAGGUACAGAGUAUCGUAAACCUCUUUUGUCAGGGAACAAAGACUGGGACGCGUCCCCGGAUGAGUGUACCUGAAGAAAAAGCAUCGGCUAACUCCGUGCCAGCAGCCGCGGUAAUACGUAGGUGGCGAGCGUUAUCCGGAAUGAUUGGGCGUAAAGGGUGCGUAGGCGGCCUGCUAAGUCUGGAGUGAAAGGUACCGGCUCAACCGGUACAGGCUCUGGAAACUG
rnacentral:rRNA from 1 species